UACGAAGGGGGCGAGCGUUGUUCGGAGUUACUGGGCGUAAAGGGCGCGUAGGCGGCGAUCCAAGUUAGGCGUGAAAGCCCCGGGCUUAACCUGGGAAUUGCGCUUAAGACUGGACUGCUUGAGUGCGGGAGAGGUGAGUGGAAUUCCCAGUGUAGAGGUGAAAUUCGUAGAUAUUGGGAAGAACACCAGUGGCGAAGGCGGCUCACUGGCCCGCAACUGACGCUGAGGAACGAAAGCGUGGGGAGCGAACAGG
rnacentral:rRNA from 1 species